rnacentral:rRNA from 1 species
CACGUAGGGUGCGAGCGUUGUCCGGAAUUAUUGGGCGUAAAGAGCUCGUAGGCGGUGUGUCGCGUCGGCCGUGAAAACCUGUGGCUUAACCAUGGGCUUGCGGUCGAUACGGGCAUCACUGGAGUUCGGCAGGGGAGACUGGAAUUCCUGGUGUAGCGGUGGAAUGCGCAGAUAUCAGGAGGAACACCAAUAGCGAAGGCAGCUCGCUGGGACGGUACUGACGCUAAGGCGCGAAAGCGUGGGGAGCGAACAGG